GAUGAACGCUAGCUACAGGCUUAACACAUGCAAGUCGAGGGGAAACGACAUCGAAAGCUUGCUUUUGAUGGGCGUCGACCGGCGCACGGGUGAGUAACGCGUAUCCAACCUGCCCAUCACUUGGGAAUAACCUUGCGAAAGUAAGACUAAUACCCAAUGAUAUCCCACGAAGGCAUCGGAAUGGGAUUAAAGAUUUAUCGGUGAUGGAUGGGGAUGCGUCUGAUUAGCUUGUUGGCGGGGUAACGGCCCACCAAGGCAACGAUCAGUAGGGGUUCUGAGAGGAAGGUCCCCCACAUUGGAACUGAGACACGGUCCAAACUCCUACGGGAGGCAGCAGUGAGGAAUAGUGGUCAAUGGGCGAGAGCCUGAACCAGCCAAGUAGCGUGCAGGAAGACGGCCCUAUGGGUUGUAAACUGCUUUUAUAAGGGAAUAAAGUGGGUCACGUGUGACUUUUUGCAUGUACCUUAUGAAUAAGAACCGGCUAAUUCCGUG
rnacentral:rRNA from 1 species